rnacentral:rRNA from 1 species
AUUGAACGCUGGCGGCAUGCCUUACACAUGCAAGUCGAACGGCAGCACGGGUGCUUGCACCUGGUGGCGAGUGGCGAACGGGUGAGUAAUACAUCGGAACAUGUCCUGUAGUGGGGGAUAGCCCGGCGAAAGCCGGAUUAAUACCGCAUACGAUCUACGGAUGAAAGCGGGGGACCUUCGGGCCUCGCGCUAUAGGGUUGGCCGCGGGCUGAUUAGCUAGUUGGUGGGGUAAAGGCCUACCAAGGCGACGAUCAGUAGCUGGUCGGAGAGGACGACCAGCCACACUGGGAGUGAGACACGGCCCAGACUCCUGCGGGAGGCAGCAGUGGGGAAUUUUGGACAAUGGGCGAAAGCCUGAUCCAGCAAUGCCGCGUGUGUGAAGAAGGCCUUCGGGUUGUAAAGCACUUUUGUGCGGAAAGAAAUCCUUGGCCCUAAUACGGUCGGGGGAUGACGGUACCGGAAGAAUAAGCACCGGCUAACUACGUG